CUGCACCAGGUGCAGUUUAUCCCGGGAAGCAGCAGGCUGCGCCAAGGCUGGGAUGCAGGCGGGCGAGCUGGGCAGCGCCGGGCGCCUCUCGCAUCCCUGCUGGCUGGAAGUGCCAGCCCCACGGAUCCAGCCCCGGCACAGCCCGCGGGAAGCCCGUAAACACGAGGGCGUUUCCGGCCGCGCGGUGCGGACGGGGCUGCCGGCGGCGGCGAGGAGGACAGCGUUAAGCACGUGUCAGCGCUCGCCCACCCGGCCCUUCGUUAGGCGGAUUAAGCAAGUUGCUUAUUGCCGGUGACAUAAUUUAGAUGAAUGGUGCGGCAAUCCAUCAGGCGGCCCCGCACGAGGCCGGCGAGGAGAGAGAGAGAGGGGGGGGAGAGAGAGGCGCAGGCAAGAAAGAGAGAGAGAGGCGCAGGCGAGAGAGAGAGAGAGGCGCAGGCGAGAGAGAGAGAGGUGCAGGCGAGAAAGAGAGAGAGAGGCACAGGCGAGAGAGUGAGAUGCAGGGGAGAGUGAGAGAGAGAGAGGAGCAGGAGAGAGAGAGAGAGGCAAAGGCGAGAGAGAGAGAGGGGCAGGCGAGAGAGAGGCGCAGGCGAGAGAGAGAGAGGCACAGGCGAGAGAAAGACAGAGAGGGGCAGGCGAGGGAGAUAGACAGAGGUGCAUGCGAGAGAGAAAGAGAGAGAGGCGCAGGCGAGAGAGAGAGAGGCGCAGGUGAGGGAGAGAGAGAGAGGGGCACGGGCGAGAAAGAGGGAGAGGUGCAGGCGAGAGAGAGAGGCGCAGGCGAGAGAGAGGGGCAGGCGAGAGAGAGAGAGGCACAGGCGAGAGAGAGAGAUGCAGGCGAGAGAGAGAGAGGCGCAGGUGAGAGAGAGGCGCAGGGGAAAGAAAGACAGAGAGGGGCAGACGAGGGAGAUAGACAGAGGUGCAUGCGAGAGAGAAAGAGAGAGAGGCGCAGGGGAGAGAGAGAGAGGCGCAGGUGAGGGAGAGAGAGGCGCAGGCGAAGAGAGAGAGAGAGGGGGCAGGCGAGAGAGAAAGAGAGAGAGGCGCAGGCGAGAGAGAGGGGCAGGUGAGAGAGAGAGGCGCAGGUGAGAGAGAGGCGCAGGCGAGAGAGAGAGAGGCGCAGAUGAAGUAGAGAGAGAGAGGCGCAGGACAGAGAGAGAGAGAGAGGCACAGGCGAGAGACAGAGAGAGGAGCAGGGGAGAGAGAGAGAGAGGCACAGGCGAGAGAGAGAGAGGCGCAGGCGAGAGAGAGAGAGGCGCAGGCGAGAGACAGGCGCAGGCGAGAGAGAGAGAGGCGCAGGACAGAGAGAGAG
rnacentral:lncRNA from 1 species